GCGAGUAUGGCCCUCACGGGUCUAAUCCACCAUAAACACCUUUGUGAACCAGUCAGGGGGACUCGGCCGAGAAAGCCCAGGCGAUUAGCGGAAGGGCCCUCCUUUGCAAACCCGUUUAGAAGUCUUGAAAGUACUUUUGUAUAAUCUAGUA
rnacentral:misc_RNA from 1 species